CCUCCUCCUCUUCUUCCUCUACCUCCUUUCCUUCUACCAUGAGCACCAGGCUCCUCUGCUGGGUGGUCCUCUGCCUCCUUGGCACUGGUCAUACUGAAUCUGGGGUCUCCCAGUCUCCUCAACACAGAGUCACAAAGAGGGGACACACUGUGCUACUCAGGUGUGAUCCCAUUCCUGGACACCAGCGACUUUAUUGGUAUAGACAGACCCCAGGUCAAGGCCUAGAAUACCUGACUCACUUCCAGUAUGAAGUUGCUGCAGAAAAACCUGAGAUGCCUGUUGAGUGGUUCUCUGCACAGAGGCCCAAUGGCUCCUUCUCAACUUUGAAGAUGCAGCCUGCAGAGCAGGGAGACUCGGCCCUGUACCUGUGUGCCAGCUGUCAGACACAGUGUGCCUCAGCCCCCUCCUUCCUGAGCACAAACCAUAAGGGCUCAGCCUCCUCCCACUUCCCAGAGACCCAAACUCAGGAGUUGCCUGGCCUGCUCCUCAUCAAAGGGAAUGAAGGAUUUGGAACCAGAAUGGAGAUCUGA